rnacentral:rRNA from 1 species
GAUGAACGCUGGCGGUCUGCUUAACACAUGCAAGUCGAACGGAAUCCCUCGGGAUUUAGUGGCGGACGGGAGAGUAACACGUAAGAACCUGCCCCUAGGACGGGGACAACAGGUGGAAACGACUGCUAAACCCGGAUGAGCCGAAAGGUAAAAGAUUUAUCGCCUAGAGAGGGGCUUGCGUCUGAUUAGCUAGUUGGUAAGGCAAAGGCUUACCAAGGCGACGAUCAGUAGCUGGUCUGAGAGGAUGAUCAGCCACACUGGGACUGAGACACGGCCCAGACUCCUACGGGAGGCAGCAGUGGGGAAUUUUCCGCAAUGGGCGAAAGCCUGACGGAGCAAGACCGCGUGGGGGAGGAAGGUUCUUGGAUUGUCAACCCCUUUUCUCAGGGAAGAACAAAAUGACGGUACCUGAGGAAAAAGCAUCGGCUAACUCCGUGCCAGCCGCCGCGGUAAGAC